rnacentral:rRNA from 3 species
UUUAAUUGAAGAGUUUGAUCAUGGCUCAGAUUGAACGCUGGCGGCAGGCCUAACACAUGCAAGUCGAGCGGUAACAGAG